rnacentral:rRNA from 1 species
UCUUGGUCAUUUAGAGGAAGUAAAAGUCGUAACAAGGUUUCCGUAGGUGAACCUGCGGAAGGAUCAUUAACGAGUUCAAAAGUCGGUCGACCGUGCUGGCGGAGACGCAUGUGCACGUCGGUCGCGAACCAUCCACACACCGUGAACCUAUGGCCCGGGGUUUGAGUUCAGACCCUGGGCACCAUUUUUACACUCUGUUUGUAAAGGAAUGUCUUAUAUUAUAUAAACAUACAACUUUCAACAACGGAUCUCUUGGCUCUCGCAUCGAUGAAGAACGCAGCGAAAUGCGAUAAGUAAUGUGAAUUGCAGAAUUCAGUGAAUCAUCGAAUCUUUGAACGCACCUUGCACCCUUUGGUAUUCCGAAGGGUACGCCCGUUUGAGUGUCAUUGUAAUCUCACCCCGAAAUCUUUUUUUGGAGUGGACUUGGACGCUGCCGUGUUGCAUGGCUCGUCUCGAACGUCUUAGUAUGCCCUGCCCGUCGGUGUAGACAGCGUGAUAAGUAUCUUCGCUGGUCAAGCCUCUCCGGAGGCGCACCUCGAGCAUGGAAGCCUGCUGCCAACCGUCUUUUGACAACCUUUGACAAUUUGACCUCAGAUCGGGUGGGACUACCCGCUGAACUUAAGCAUAUCAAUAAGCGGAGGA